rnacentral:rRNA from 1 species
UACGUAGGUGGCAAGCGUUGUCCGGAUUUAUUGGGUUUAAAGGGUGCGUAGGCGGCCGCUUAAGUCAGUUGUGAAAUAUCCCGGCUCAACCGGGAGGGUGCGAUUGAUACUGGGCGGCUCGAGUAACAGCGAGGUUGGCGGAAUUGACGGUGUAGCGGUGAAAUGCAUAGAUAUCGUCAAGAACACCGAUAGCGAAGGCAGCCAACUAGGGGUUAACUGACGCUGAGGCACGAAAGUGCGGGGAGUCAAACAGG